rfam:Syphacia muris strain Valencia genome assembly, scaffold: SMTV_scaffold0001166
CCAACGGCCCUCUUUAGGGCCACAUACGUUUAAGUCUACGUUCCG